CUGAAGGAUCGCUGGGGGCUGUGUUGACGGCUGAUGACUACAGAAGGUGAUAAUGAAUACUGAAGAUUCUAAGAAGAUCAUAAGAGAGAAGUACAUGCAGAAACAGAAAAAGUCCAUAAACUCGAAUUUUGUGUGAUUCAACCAAGUACGGAAAUGAAAAAAUUAGAAAAAAAAAUCAACAUUUUGCAGUCUACAGUGAAAUACUCAACUCAGAAGUGCCUCUCCAGAGUGUCGGUGCUCAAAAGCUAUGAGGUAGUCUCUGUGCUGCCUCUUAUGGCCCACAGAAGUUCAUGUGCAAGGUUAUUCAAGGGUAAGUCUUCGUAGCAAACAUGGGCCUGUGGGCCAGAGGAUUUCUACUUCUGUUCGUUAGUGGAAGGAAAAGGUGCAUGAAGCUGAAUGGGA